UUGACGGGGCCCGCACAAGCGGUGGAGCAUGUGGUUUAAUCGAAGCAACGCGAAGAACCUUACCAGGUCUUGACAUCCCGAUGCUAUUUCUAGAGAUAGAAAGUUACUUCGGUACAUCGGUGACAGGUGGUGCAUGGUUGUCGUCAGCUCGUGUCGUGAGAUGUUGGGUUAAGUCCCGCAACGAGCGCAACCCCUAUUGUUAGUUGCCAUCAUUCAGUUGGGCACUCUAGCGAGACUGCCGGUAAUAAACCGGAGGAAGGUGGGGAUGACGUCAAAUCAUCAUGCCCCUUAUGACCUGGGCUACACACGUGCUACAAUGGUUGGUACAACGAGUUGCGAGUCGGUGACGGCGAGCUAAUCUCUUAAAGCCAAUCUCAGUUCGGAUUGUAGGCUGCAACUCGCCUACAUGAAGUCGGAAUCGCUAGUAAUCGCGGAUCAGCACGCCGCGGUGAAUACGUUCCCGGGCCUU
rnacentral:rRNA from 1 species